rnacentral:rRNA from 1 species
GAUGAACGCUGGCGGCGUGCCUAAUAUAUGCAAGUAGAACGCUGAAGGAGGAGCUUGCUCUUCUGGAUGAGUUGCGAACGGGUGAGUAACGCGUAGGUAACCUGCCUGGUAGCGGGGGAUAACUAUUGGAAACGAUAGCUAAUACCGCAUGACAACAGUUAUUGCAUGAUAACUGUUUAAAAGGGGCAACUGCUCCACUACCAGAUGGACCUGCGUUGUAUUAGCUAGUUGGUGAGGUGACGGCUCACCAAGGCGACGAUACAUAGCCGACCUGAGAGGGUGAUCGGCCACACUGGGACUGAGACACGGCCCAGACUCCUACGGGAGGCAGCAGUAGGGAAUCUUCGGCAAUGGACGGAAGUCUGACCGAGCAACGCCGCGUGAGUGAAGAAGGUUUUCGGAUCGUAAAGCUCUGUUGUAAGAGAAGAACGAGUGUGAGAGUGGAAAGUUCACACUGUGACGGUAUCUGACCAGAAAGGGACGGCUAACUACGUG